GAUGAACGCUGGCGGCGUGCCUAAUACAUGCAAGUCGAGCGAACAGAUGAGGAGCUUGCUCCUCUGACGUUAGCGGCGGACGGGUGAGUAACACGUGGAUAACCUACCUAUAAGACUGGGAUAACUUCGGGAAACCGGAGCUAAUACCGGAUAAUAUAUUGAACCGCAUGGUUCAAUAGUGAAAGACGGUUUUGCUGUCACUUAUAGAUGGAUCCGUGCCGCAUUAGCUAGUUGGUAAGGUAACGGCUUACCAAGGCAACGAUGCGUAGCCGACCUGAGAGGGUGAGCGGCCACACUGGAACUGAGACACGGUCCAGACUCCUACGGGAGGCAGCAGUAGGGAAUCUUCCGCAAUGGGCGAAAGCCUGACGGAACAACGCCGCGUGAGUGAUGAAGGUCUUCGGAUCUUAAAACUCUGUUAUUAGGGAAGAACAAAUGUGUAAGUAACUAUGCACGUCUUGACGGUACCUAAUCAGAAAGCCACGGCUAACUACGUG
rnacentral:rRNA from 1 species